AUUGGAUAAAAUACUUAAUUUAUGCGAACAUGCUGAAAAUCACAUCCAAUUCGCACUAAGACCAUAUCCUAUAAUAAAGAACAGGAACUCUGUGCAAUGGCAUUGAAGCUUGUGACAUUGCAUCGUUCUUCCUGCGACAUUU